rnacentral:lncRNA from 1 species
CAGUUUGUAGAGAUUGAGGGUGUCAUUUAGACGGUUUCAAAGAUCGGGUUGAGUUUUAGACACCGGGUAUAGUUUGGGGGGGUGUAACGUGGACUUCUUCUGGGUAGAAACCACUCACACAUAGCGAUGUCACACCGUCACACGUGACUGCAUAUUGCAAACACGCUGCGCCCAGAAGCAAAAUUUUGCUUGCCUUUUAAAGGCCUAUUUGGUAGAGCCCCAUCUGAUUCUAAUUCUAUGUGGAAGCUGAUUCUCUGAGAUAAGUGAUUUUAUGACCAAAAGUGAUUCUCUUUCAUU